GGGUUGCUAACUCAACGGUAGAGUACUCGGCUUUUAACCGACUAGCUCCGGGUUCGAAUCCCGGGCAACCCA
rnacentral:tRNA from 2 species